GCCGAGGUAGCUCAGCUGGUAGAGCAACGGUUUUGUAAACCGUAGGUCGUGGGUUCGAUCCCCAUCCUCGGCU
rnacentral:tRNA from 1 species